rnacentral:rRNA from 1 species
GUGAGGAAUUUUCCGCAAUGGGCGAAAGCCUGACGGAGCAAUGCCGCGUGAAGGAUGAAGGCCUAUGGGUUGUAAACUUCUUUUCUCAGAAAAGAAUUAUGACGGUAUCUGAGGAAUAAGCAUCGGCUAACUCUGUGCCAGCAGCCGCGGUAAGACAGAGGAUGCAAGCGUUAUCCGGAAUGAUUGGGUGUAAAGCGUCUGUAGGUUGUUUAAAAAGUAUUCUGUCAAAGAUUAGGGCUUAACCCUAGAUAGGCAGAAUAAACUUUUAAGCUAGAGUGUGGUAGAGGCAGAGGGAAUUCCCGGUGGAGCGGUGAAAUGCGUAGAUAUCGGGAGGAACACCAAAGGCGAAGGCACUCUGCUGGGCCAAUACUAACACUGAGAGACGAAAGCGAGGGGAGCAAAUGGGAUUAGAUACCCUAGUAGUCC